rnacentral:snRNA from 1 species
AUGCUCAUUUCUGCAGCACAUAUACUAAAAUUGGAAUGAUACAGAGAAGAUUAACAUGGCCCCUGCGCAAGGAUGGCAGGCAAAUUUGUGAAGUGUUCCAUAUUUUU